AGGAGAGGCUUCACUCCUCACACUUUCACUACAGCUCCACUAGGACUUACUGCUUUCUCUGAAAGCUCAGCAAACCAUUGAAGCUUCUUACGUUUUAUUACACUCGCAAAUUAGUUAUGGCCUUUUUACCCAGAGCCGUUCUUCUGCUGAUGCUUGGAGCAGUUUGUAUUCAACUGAAUGCAGUCGUAGAUGCUGAUGGACCUGACAGGUGCUGGUGUUUAAAAAGUUUAAAUAAACGUGUCCCAAGAGAAGAGAUUGAAGAGUUUUCCAUUUUCCCCCGAAGAUCAAAGUGUAACAAGGUUGAAAUCAUACUGACACUAAAACCUGUGAAUAACUCAACCGAAGUGGUGAAGCGCUGCCUGAGUCCAGAGACAAAACAAGGAAUUAAUCUGCAGACUUGCUGGAACAAGAAGAACGUCAACAACACCUCCACAUUUAAGACAUCCAGCUGCUUCGAAAGCCAUCACUGAAAGAGCAGAAGAGCAGGGGAGGACAGAAGGGGGAUCUGGAAACUCUAGCAAGCCUGUGAGUGGAAUGUCAUCCUGUCACAUGACCCGGCACUGACCAAUCAGCAUCCUGGGAUUUAAGUGUUGGCCUCAUGCAGCUGAUGGGAAAUCACAGAAGACCCGAAAACACCCAGAGCACUGCCAGUAACCGCCGCACGCAGACGUUGUCGGCAAAAGCAUUUGGAUUAGAGUUCACUUGCUUUAUGAAUGAAGCACUGAAUGUAUCUUUACUCCAAGCAGUAUUUAAAUAACUAUAUUUAAAUUUAUUUAAAUAACUAUAUUUAAAUUGUUUUAGAAUUUAACUUAUUUUAUGUAUUUUUGUGUGACCAGGCCCUGUAAUGUUAUAUAUGUGAUGUGACUGAUUGAGUCACAUUACAGUCUUUCUUUGACUUGACAUUUUAUAUGACAUGAAAUACGUUUUGAUGCUCUUUUUUGAGACUAACAAAAUGAUUUAUAAAAUGGAAGCUAUUUCAUAAAGUUUUGUAAUAAAAAUCAGUUUGAAGUUA